UGCCAGCCGCCGCGGUAAUACGAAGGGGGCUAGCGUUGUUCGGAAUCACUGGGCGUAAAGCGCACGUAGGCUGACUGGUCAGUUGGGGGUGAAAGCCCGGGGCUCAACCCCGGAAGUGCAUUGGAAACUGGCGAACUUGAGUACGGGAGAGGAAAGUGGAAUUCCGAGUGUAGGGGUGAAAUCCGUAGAUAUUCGGAGGAACACCAGUGGCGAAGGCGGCUUUCUGGACCGAUACUGACGCUGAGACGCGAAAGCGUGGGGAGCAAACAGGAUUAGAUA
rnacentral:rRNA from 1 species